UACAGAGGUCCCAAGCGUUGUUCGGAUUCACUGGGCGUAAAGGGUGCGUAGGCGGUCGGGUAAGUCUGAUGUGAAAUCUCACAGCUUAACUGUGAAACUGCAUUGGAUACUAUUCGGCUUGAGAGUUGGAGGGGGGACUGGAAUUCUUGGUGUAGCAGUGAAAUGCGUAGAUAUCAAGAGGAACACCAGUGGCGAAGGCGGCUCUCUAGUACGGUACCGACGCUGAGACGCGAAAGCGUGGGGAGCGAACAGG
rnacentral:rRNA from 1 species